AGUGAACGCUGGCGGUAGGCCUAACACAUGCAAGUCGAACGGCAGCACAGUAAGAGCUUGCUCUUACGGGUGGCGAGUGGCGGACGGGUGAGGAAUACAUCGGAAUCUACUUUUUCGUGGGGGAUAACGUAGGGAAACUUACGCUAAUACCGCAUACGACCUACGGGUGAAAGCAGUGGAUCUUCGGACCUUGCGCGAUUGAAUUAGCCGAUGUCGGAUUAGCUAGUUGGCUGGGUAAAGGCCCACCAAGGCGACGAUCCGUAGCUGGUCUGAGAGGAUGAUCAGCCACACUGGAACUGAGACACGGUCCAGACUCCUACGGGAGGCAGCAGUGGGGAAUAUUGGACAAUGGGCGCAAGCCUGAUCCAGCCAUACCGCGUGAGUGAAGAAGGCCUUCGGGUUGUAAAGCCCUGUUGUUGGGAAAGAAAAGCAGCAGGUUAAUACCCCGAUGUUCUGACGGUACCCAAAGAAUAAGCACCGGCUAACUUCGUG
rnacentral:rRNA from 1 species